UAAUUUUAGGUGUUUUGGCAUAUCAAAUUUUGAUUUUGAUGGAAUUUAUUUGAAUAAAAUUAA
rnacentral:tRNA from 1 species